GGAAGAAUACAGAAUCGAUUAGGCAACCCAAUGUGGGUUGGACUCAUUGAACUGCAACAAGCUAAACCCAAACAGGAAAUCCUUCAUUUUGUACCAGACCAUGGCUGAGAUACAGGCGUGCUACUCAAGAAGCCUGUUACAGGUGCCAACACCAACAGCCGCGGCAAGAUGCCAACCAGCAUGAAUGAAAGGAGUCCUAGGAAACAGAUCAUCUGCAAUGAAAAGAACUCCUCCUAACAAGGAUGACAUCUUAUGCAGAUUAUGUGCAUUCCUUAGCUCUGGAUCUUUUAGUGCUCUUUUUGCAAAUGCCACCUCCAUCAUCCCUGUGUGAACAGCAGACACCAGUAAAGGCUGGAUAGGCAAUAAUGCUGCAGAUGCUGCCAUCAGCAACUUAGGGUUCUCAUUUCUAAGGGCUCUUGACAAACAUAAUGUUGCUGUGGCUAUCAUUGUAUAAUCAAACCAUCUCAAGUACUUCCUUAUUUUUCCUCUUGAAGAAUGAUACA
rnacentral:misc_RNA from 1 species